rnacentral:rRNA from 1 species
GACGGAGGAUGCAAGUGUUAUCCGGAAUCACUGGGCGUAAAGAGCGCGCAGGCGGUCGUACAAGUCGCGUGUGAAAGCCCCCGGCUCAACUGGGGAGGGUCACGCGAUACUGUUCGACUCGAAGGCAGGAGAGGGAAGUGGAAUUCCCGGUGUAGUGGUGAAAUGCGUAGAUAUCGGGAGGAACACCAGUGGCGAAGGCGACUUCCUGGCCUGUUCUUGACGCUGAGGCGCGAAAGCUAGGGUAGCAAACGGG